rnacentral:misc_RNA from 1 species
GAUGAAGAACGCAGCGAAAUGCGAUAAGUAAUGUGAAUUGCAGAAUUCAGUGAAUCAUCGAAUCUUUGAACGCACAUUGCGCCCGCCAGUAUUCUGGCGGGCAUGCCUGUCCGAGCGUCAUUUCAACCCUCAGGCCCUGGUUGCCUGGUGUUGGGGCGCCGCGCACCCUCUGCGGGCGCGGGCCCCGAAAGUCAGUGGCGGGCUCGCCAGGACUCCGAGCGCAGUAAUUUUCUCUCGCUGUGGAGCGCCUGGUGGGUUACCAGCCGUAAAACACCCCAAAUUCUAAAGGUUAACCUCGGAUCAGGUAGGAAUACCCGCUGAACUUAAGCAUAUCAAUAAGCGGAGGA